CAGCCGCCACGGUAAUGCGUAGGGUGCAAGCGUUAAUCGGAAUUACUGGGCGUAAAGCGUGCGCAGGCGGUUUGUUAAGACAGAUGUGAAAUCCCCGGGCUUAACCUGGGAACUGCAUUUGUGACUGGCAAGCUAGAGUCUGGCAGAGGGGGGUGGAAUUCCGCGUGUAGCAGUGAAAUGCGUAGAUAUGCGGAGGAACACCGAUGGCGAAGGCAGCCCCCUGGGCCAACACUGACGCUCAUGCACGAAAGCGUGGGGAGCAAACAGGAUUAGAUACCCGCGUAGUCCCUGUCUCUUAUAU
rnacentral:rRNA from 1 species